ACUGCUAACAGCUUGGAAAUGUAUGGAAUCAGUGGCAAGUUAAGGAUAACCAAAACAAUGUUGCCGAAGUACAUCGAGAUGAUGACUGACCAGAAGACGUCAGGGUGUUCGACAAACAGACGUGGGCC
rnacentral:ncRNA from 1 species